AGUCCAGAUGGUCGCGGGGGCGCUUGCGUCAACGAGGAAAGUCCGAGCUUCGCAGGGCAGGGUGCCGGGUAACUCCCGGUGGAGGCGACUCUAAGGAAAGUGCAACAGAAAUAGACUGCCGGUUAUCCGGCGAUGGUGGAAAGGUGAGGUAAGAGCUCACCAGCGCGGCGGAGACGUCGCGGCUCUGUAAACCCCAUCCGAAGCAACACCGUAUUGGCUCGUAUAGGCUGAGUCGGCCCGGCAUGCCUAUACUUGGCGGUGGCUUGAACCGGCUGGUAACAGUCGGUCUAGAUAGAUGAUCAUCCAAUACAAAACUCGGCUUAUAGGGCUGCUUG
rnacentral:RNase_P_RNA from 1 species